CCUACGGGUGGCAGCAGUGAGGAAUAUUGGUCAAUGGGCGAGAGCCUGAACCAGCCAAGCCGCGUGAGGGAAGACGGCCCUAUGGGUUGUAAACUUCUUUUGUAGAAGAAUAAAACGCGGCACGUGUCCCUUACUGCAUGUACUUUAUGAAAAAGGAUCGGCUAACUACGUGCCAGCAGCCGCGGUAAUACGGAGGAGUCGAGCGUUAUCCGGAUUUAUUGGGUUUAAAGGGAGCGUAGGUGGGUUGUUAAGUCAGUUGUGAAAGUUUGGGGCUCAACCGCAGAGGUGCAGUUGAUACUGGCAGUCUUGAGUGCAGUAGAGGUAAGCGGAAUUCGUGGUGUAGCGGUGAAAUGCGUAGAUAUCACGAAGAACCCCGAUUGCGAAGGCGGCUUACUGGACUGUGACUGACGCUGAGGCUCGAAAGCGUGGGUAUCAAACAGGAUUAGAUACCCGUGUAGUC
rnacentral:rRNA from 1 species